AAAGAACGCGGGCGGCAGGCCGAACAUAUGCAAGUCGAACGAGACCUUCGGGUCUAGUGGCGCACGGGUGCGUAACGCGUGGGAACCUGCCCUUAGGUUCGGAAUAACUCCCCGAAAGGGGUGCUAAUACCGGAUAAUGUCUUCGGACCAAAGAUUUAUCGCCUUUGGAUGGGCCCGCGUUGGAUUAGCUAGUUGGUAGGGUAAAAGCCUACCAAGGCGACGAUCCAUAGCUGGUCUGAGAGGAUGAUCAGCCACACUGGGACUGAGACACGGCCCAGACUCCUACGGGAGGCAGCAGUGGGGAAUAUUGGACAAUGGGCGAAAGCCUGAUCCAGCAAUGCCGCGUGAGUGAUGAAGGCCUUAGGGUUGUAAAGCUCUUUUACCCGGGAUGAUAAUGACAGUACCGGGAGAAUAAGCUCCGGCUAACUCCGUG
rnacentral:rRNA from 1 species